GCCAUUUUUUUGAUUUGCAAGAUAUUUUGGUUGAUUUCGCUUCUAGUUAUCGCCCCAAAUAUUUUUUACUUUUUCCGUGGUCGUAAUUGCAAACUAAAUUUUCAUUUUGUUUGCUGUCUUGUCGUAUUUCCCGCUCACAGGUGUUAACUUUUUGCUUAGCUGUAGUUUAGAUUCGCUGUUUUUCUUUAAUUUUUUGGCUUGCCCUGGCUACAUUGUGGCUUACUUUUACCCAGAGCGCUUGGCCACUCAAUCAAUUCCCACUCACAAAAGUGAAAAGUCAAAACGCGACGCGAACGCGGCGUUGUUGGUGCUUUUGUUGGUUAUGCGCAUGCGCGCAUGUAACAGCUGCAGUACAUGCAUUAACUUGGCCAAAAGUAGUUGAAGUGCUCCUGCUGCCGCGGCUUAAUCUAAAGCUAAAGCUAUUUCUGGUGUACAUUUGCGACAUCGGCCAAACAAAAUAAGACAAAGCGAUGGAAAAAAGUUUGGUACACCACAAAAAAAAGUAUGUUAAAAAUAAACUAUAAUACUUUUAGAUUGUUUAACAGAGAACAAAAA